UAAGCAUAUCAAUAAGCGGAGGAAAAGAAACUAACAAGGAUUCCCCUAGUAGCGGCGAGCGAAGCGGGAAGAGCUCAAAUUUAUAAUCUGGCACCUUCGGUGUCCGAGUUGUAAUCUCUAGAAAUGUUUUCCGCGUUGGACCGCACACAAGUCUGUUGGAAUACAGCGGCAUAGUGGUGAGACCCCCGUAUAUGGUGCGGACGCCCAGCGCUUUGUGAUACAUUUUCGAAGAGUCGAGUUGUUUGGGAAUGCAGCUCAAAUUGGGUGGUAAAUUCCAUCUAAAGCUAAAUAUUGGCGAGAGACCGAUAGCGAACAAGUACCGUGAGGGAAAGAUGAAAAGCACUUUGGAAAGAGAGUUAACAGUACGUGAAAUUGUUGGAAGGGAAACGCUUGAAGUCAGACUUGCUUGCCGAGCAAUCGGUUUGCAGGCCAGCAUCAGUUUUCCGGGAUGGAUAAUGGUAGAGAGAAGGUAGCAGUUUCGGCUGUGUUAUAGCUCUCUGCUGGAUACAUCUUGGGGGACUGAGGAACGCAAUGUGCCUUUGGCGGGGGUUUCGACCUCUUCACACUUAGGAUGCUGGUGGAAUGGCUUUAAACGACCCGUCUUGAAACACGGACCAAGGAGUCUAACAUGCUUGCGAGUAUUUGGGUGUCAAACCCGGAUGCGUAAUGAAAGUGAAUGGAGGUGGGAACCGCAAGGUGCACCAUCGACCGAUCUGGAUUUUUAAUGAUGGAUUUGAGUAAGAGCACGUAUGUUGGGACCCGAAAGAUGGUGAACUAUGCCUGAAUAGGGCGAAGCCAGAGGAAACUCUGGUGGAGGCUCGUAGCGGUUCUGACGUGCAAAUCGAUCGU
rnacentral:rRNA from 1 species